rnacentral:rRNA from 1 species
UUGAACGCUGGCGGCAGGCCUAACACAUGCAAGUCGAGCGGCAGCGCGGGGCAACCUGGCGGCGAGCGGCGGACGGGUGAGUAACGCGUAGGAAUCUACCCAGUAGCGGGGGAUAGCCCGGGGAAACUCGGAUUAAUACCGCAUACGCCCUAAGGGGGAAAGCAGGGGAUCGUAAGACCUUGCACUAUUGGAAGAGCAUGCGUUGGAUUAGCUAGUUGGUAGGGUAAAGGCCUACCAAGGCGACGAUCCAUAACUGGUCUGAGAGGAUGAUCAGUCACACCGGAACUGAGACACGGUCCGGACUCCUACGGGAGGCAGCAGUGGGGAAUAUUGGACAAUGGGGGCAACCCUGAUCCAGCCAUGCCGCGUGUGUGAAGAAGGCCUUCGGGUUGUAAAGCACUUUAAGUGGGGAGAAGGGUUCGGCAGCUAAUACCUGCCGGAAGUGAUGUUACCCACAGAAUAAGCACCGGCUAACUCUGUGCCAGCAGCCGCGGUAA